GUCUCUGUGGCACAAUUGGUUAGCGCGUUUGGCUGUUACCAAAAAGGUUGUUGGUUCGAUCCCACCCUGGGACG